rnacentral:rRNA from 1 species
UACGGGGGGGGCAAGCGUUUGUUCGGAAUUACUGGGCGUAAAGGGCUCGUAGGCGGCCAACUAAGUCAGACGUGAAAUCCCUAGGCUCAACCUGGGAACUGCGUCUGAUACUGGAUGGCUUGAAUCCGGGAGAGGGAUGCAGAAUUCCAGGUGUAGCGGUGAAAUGCGUAGAUAUCUGGAGGAAUACCGGUGGCGAAGGCGGCAUCCUGGACCGGCAUUGACGCUGAGGAGCGAAAGCUAGGGGAGCAAACGGGG